rnacentral:lncRNA from 1 species
GCUUUUUGGCUCGAGGGGUUAAAAUUCCUAAUGCCUUUAUCAUCUUCAUGUAUAUUUGUAAUGGAAUAUAAUCUCAAUAAGAUAUGAAGCAAGUUCUAGAGAUACUUAUCAUUGAAAGAAUGCACACUCAAAGAAUAUAAUGUUGAAGGCUCAAAAGCUUGCAUUGGUAUAACACUAUAAAGUCAACAUGACAUAUUCUCAAAGUCAAUCCCUAAACCAAUUAAACCUUAAAAUUUGCAUGCA